rnacentral:rRNA from 1 species
GAUGAACGCUAGCUACAGGCUUAACACAUGCAAGUCGAGGGGCAGCAUGGUCUUAGCUUGCUAAGGCCGAUGGCGACCGGCGCACGGGUGAGUAACACGUAUCCAACCUGCCGUCUACUCUUGGACAGCCUUCUGAAAGGAAGAUUAAUACAAGAUGGCAUCAUGAGUCCACAUGUUCACAUGAUUAAAGGUAUUCCGGUAGACGAUGGGGAUGCGUUCCAUUAGAUAGUAGGCGGGGUAACGGCCCACCUAGUCUUCGAUGGAUAGGGGUUCUGAGAGGAAGGUCCCCCACAUUGGAACUGAGACACGGUCCAAACUCCUACGGGAGGCAGCAGUGAGGAAUAUUGGUCAAUGGGCGAGAGCCUGAACCAGCCAAGUAGCGUGAAGGAUGACUGCCCUAUGGGUUGUAAACUUCUUUUAUAAAGGAAUAAAGUCGGGUAUGCAUACCCGUUUGCAUGUACUUUAUGAAUAAGGAUCGGCUAACUCCGUGCCAGCAGCCGCGGUAAUACGGAGGAUCCGAGCGUUAUCCGGAUUUAUUGGGUUUAAAGGGAGCGUAGAUGGAUGUUUAAGUCAGUUGUGAAAGUUUGCGGCUCAACCGUAAAAUUGCAGUUGAUACUGGAUAUCUUGAGUGCAGUUGAGGCAGGCGGAAUUCGUGGUGUAGCGGUGAAAUGCUUAGAUAUCACGAAGAACUCCGAUUGCGAAGGCAGCCUGCUAAGCUGCAACUGACAUUGAGGCUCGAAAGUGUGGGUAUCAAACAGGAUUAGAUACCCUGGUAGUCCACACGGUAAACGAUGAAUACUCGCUGUUUGCGAUAUACAGCAAGCGGCCAAGCGAAAGCGUUAAGUAUUCCACCUGGGGAGUACGCCGGCAACGGUGAAACUCAAAGGAAUUGACGGGGGCCCGCACAAGCGGAGGAACAUGUGGUUUAAUUCGAUGAUACGCGAGGAACCUUACCCGGGCUUAAAUUGCAGAUGAAUUACGGUGAAAGCCGUAAGCCGCAAGGCAUCUGUGAAGGUGCUGCAUGGUUGUCGUCAGCUCGUGCCGUGAGGUGUCGGCUUAAGUGCCAUAACGAGCGCAACCCUUGUUGUCAGUUACUAACAGGUCAUGCUGAGGACUCUGACAAGACUGCCAUCGUAAGAUGUGAGGAAGGUGGGGAUGACGUCAAAUCAGCACGGCCCCUACGUCCGGGGCUACACACGUGUUACAAUGGGGGGUACAGAGGGCCGCUACCACGCGGGUGGAUGCCAAUCCCAAAAACCUCUCUCAGUUCGGACUGGAGUCUGCAACCCGACUCCACGAAGCUGGAUUCGCUAGUAAUCGCGCAUCAGCCACGGCGCGGUGAAUACGUUCCCGGGCCUUGUACACACCGCCCGUCAAGCCAUGGGAGCCGGGGGUACCUGAAGUGCGUAACCGCGAGGAGCGCCCUAGGGUAAAACUG